rnacentral:lncRNA from 1 species
UGAUGUGUGUAUGUCAAUCAAUUAAUAUGUUAUUGAUUUUUAAAUUGUACAUGGCUAUUGGCGAAUGUCUGUGAAAUGUCUGUUGAAUGUUGAAUGUGCGAAUAUAUAUAUUUUUUUACCUCUGUGAAGAAGCUAUACUUUAAACCUAUUUUGCUGAUUUAUCUAUGUCACGCACUUGAACUGUAUGCUGAAUACAUUCAACCCGGAUUCACUCAGGAUGCAGCAACGGCCAGAAUCAACCGUGUCUGGUGGAGGAAGUAGUGGGAAACUACGUCAGGUUUGAAACCAACCUCGACCCCUCACAUGUGGCCAACUUUGCCACUUUAACGUGGCUUUUCAAUGGACUGGUGCCAAUUGUUACAUCUGUGUCCACUAACGUGAACAUUGAACGCGGCUAUGAAGGAAGAGUGUCACUGAAUUCAUCCACCUUUGCCCUGACGCUUGGACCUUUGACGAAGGAAGACAGUGGGGAUUAUUCUGUUUCCAUUAUCAGUCAAUCUGGGGUUUACUUGACCGAAAGCUUUUCGCUCAGAGUUGUAGAAAAUUUCUCCAACCAGGUGGUCUGUUCAAGCUGCCCAUUUUGGCUUUUGACUCUCUCUCUCUUUUUCACUUGGAUCUAAGGGCAGGACUUCACCUGUCCUAAAAGCCUCCGAGAGGUUCUGUGUGCCAUCAACUUCACACACACAAGCAUUCACUCACAACCAACACGCAUGCGUGCGCACACACACACAGACACAAAGAAAAUAUCACAAAAUGCGUGUACUACCGUGUUAAUUAAAGUAAUUGUUCAUGUGCUUCCUGUACUAGCUCUUUACAACAUAAACACAAGAUUAUUUGGAAU